UACGAAGGGGGCUAGCGUUGUUCGGAAUUACUGGGCGUAAAGCGCGCGCAGGCGGUUUUGUAAGUUGGGGGUGAAAUCCCCGGGCUCAACCCGGGAAUGGCCUUCAAGACUGCAAGGCUCGAGGACGAGAGAGGUGAGUGGAAUUCCCAGUGUAGAGGUGAAAUUCGUAGAUAUUGGGAAGAACACCGGUGGCGAAGGCGGCUCACUGGCUCGUUUCUGACGCUGAGGCGCGAAAGCGUGGGGAGCAAACAGG
rnacentral:rRNA from 1 species